UCCAGGCCAGUUGGUGCAGCUUCCUGUUUCACCUUAUCUUUCUUAUGUGCCCAUAUAAAAGUAAUUGUAAAGAAUAUUCUUUAAAGGGAGACAAAGUGAACAGAAUAAGCAUGGCAGAUGCUAAAAAUCAAAGGACAGAUUUAUUACAUUCAAUGACAGCUUCAAGGAAGUAAUAUCUAAUAUAAAUUGAUAUAAAUGUUUGUAAUAUAUAGAAAAUUUCAAUACAAACUUUUAAUCUCACAGAGGCAUCCCAAAUCAGUUUCUAAGGCCUAGUUUAUCUUGAGGCUCUUAGAAAUUGACCCCACCUUAUGAUGGAGAACAACCAGUGUCAGAGUUUCUUCUGAAACCCUCCUCAUUCCCCACAACACUUUUCUUAAGGCACACUAUCCACUUGCCUCUCUUGAUUGGAAACAUUGAAGCAUGGUACUGAUGGAGUGAAGCACUAGUCAUGUGAUAGAGCUGCAGAGAGAACUCAGUCUUUCUGAAUUUUCUGCUCAGGGGUUCAGACUACCGUUUUACCAAGACAGUUAAAAUCUAAGAAGAUAGAAUUCCAUUGUCUUUGUCACUUCCAGAAGGCAAGUCCAGCUCUGAAGAGGCAGGAGUGAACAAAUAAAAGGCUGGCGAUCACAAAGAGGCCGUGCAGAACAACAAAAUUCGUUUAGCCUAUUUCAACGCCUGUCUCUGCCAUCACUCCAGCAGACAGUCGCUUCAAACCUGUUAGCGCAAAAUUGACCCGAAGGUUAGAGACAGGCUCUGAUUCUCAAGCAGCGAGGUUUUCGUUUUCAUUUUCGUUUAUUCACCGACAGAGGGGCCAUAACUAAGGAUUA